rnacentral:rRNA from 1 species
UACGUAGGGUGCGAGCGUUGUCCGGAAUUAUUGGGCGUAAAGGGCUCGUAGGCGGUCUGUUGCGUCAGGAGUGAAAACUCGGGGCUUAACCCCGAGCCUGCUUCUGAUACGGGCAGACUAGAGGUAUGCAGGGGAGAACGGAAUUCCUGGUGUAGCGGUGAAAUGCGCAGAUAUCAGGAGGAACACCGGUGGCGAAGGCGGUUCUCUGGGCAUUACCUGACGUGAGGAGCGAAAGUGUGGGGAGCGAACGG